UACGUAGGGGGCGAGCGUUGUCCGGAUUUAUUGGGCGUAAAGGGCGUGCAGGCGGUUUGGUAAGUUCCGCGUGACAGUUCUCGGCUUAACCGAGAAAGGCUUGCGGAAAACUGUCGAACUUGAGGGUCAGAGAGGGACAUAGAAUUCCGGGUGGAGUGGUGAAAUGCGUAGAGAUCCGGAGGAAUACCAAAGGCGAAGGCAGUGUCCUGGCUGACAUCUGACGCUGAGGCGCGAAAGCUAGGGGAGCGAACAGG
rnacentral:rRNA from 1 species